rnacentral:tRNA from 1 species
CCCUGGUUUGCUCAGCUGGUAGGGCACUCUACUAGAAUUGGAGAGGUCCCGGUUUCGAUACCCGGAAGAGGCG